CUUUAUUGUCCCCACAUAUCUUUCUGAUUCAGUUUCUUACAUUAAUCAUGAACUUUCAUCCUUCAUUUUACCAAGUUGGGCAUGGAUUAAAGAUUAGAAUUUUAUGAUUCGAUCCCUUUUUGCCCCAAGCAUUGGAUCAUCUUUGGAUCCUCAACAGGCGGUAGAAAUCUCUAGUGGAGUGCUAGGUAGUGAGUAGGAACAGAGGCAUUGACCAUGUCAGCUCACCUCAGCUGCUAGGGCGGCUGACUACAGUUUGGCAUCAGCUGUAAUCCACUACUUAGAGUAUGCUAUAAAAAAGGCCAGUACAAAAUAAGAAAAUAAUUUUUCUUAACA